rnacentral:sRNA from 1 species
ACUGAGCACAGUGGCAUAUACCUGUAAUCCCAGCUACUUGGAGGCUGAGGCAGGAGGAUCACCUUGAGUCCAGGAGUUCAAGGCCAUCCUGGGCAACAUAUUAAGAACCUAUCUCAG